GUGCUACAAUGGGGUGCACAAAGAGAAGCAAUACUGCGAAGUGGAGCCAAUCUUCAAAACGCCUCUCAGUUCGGAUUGUAGGCUGCAACUCGCCUGCAUGAAGCUGGAAUCGCUAGUAAUCGCAAAUCAGCCAUGUUGCGGUGAAUACGUUCCCGGGUCUUGUACUCACCGCCCGUCACACCAUGGGAGUUGUGUUUGCCUUAAGUCAGGAUGCUAAAUUGGCUACUGCCCACGGCACACACAGCGACUGGGGUGAAGUCGUAACAAGGUAACCGUAGGUGAACCUGCGGUUGGAUUACCUCCUUUCUAGA
rnacentral:rRNA from 1 species